UCCGGUUUUGCAGUGGNUACGGGCUAACUAGAGUGCAGUAGGGGAGACUGGAAUUCNUGGUGUAGCGGUGGAAUGCACAGAUAUCAGGAGGAACACCGAUGGCGAAGGCAGGUNUCUGGGCUGUAACUGACGCUGAGAAGCGAAAGCAUGGGGAGCGAACAGGAUUAGAUACCCUGGUAGUCCAUGCCGUAAACGUUGGGCACUAGGUGUGGGGGACAUUCCACGUUUUCCGCGCCGUAGCUAACGCAUUAAGUGCCCCGCCUGGGGAGUACGGCCGCAAGGCUAAAACUCAAAGGAAUUGACGGGGGCCCGCACAAGCGGCGGAGCAUGCGGAUUAAUUCGAUGCAACGCGAAGAACCUUACCAAGGCUUGACAUGCAUUAGAUCGCGUCAGAGAUGGCGUUUCCCUUCGGGGCUGGUGUACAGGUGGUGCAUGGUUGUCGUCAGCUCGUGUCGUGAGAUGUUGGGUUAAGUCCCGCAACGAGCGCAACCCUCGUUCUAUGUUGCCAGCGGUUCGGCCGGGGACUCAUAGGAGACUGCCGGGGUCAACUCGGAGGAAGGUGGGGAUGACGUCAAAUCAUCAUGCCCCUUAUGUCUUGGGCUUCACGCAUGCUACAAUGGCCGGUACAGAGGGUUGCGAUACUGUGAGGUGGAGCUAAUCCCUUAAAGCCGGUCUCAGUUCGGAUUGGGGUCUGCAACUCGACCCCAUGAAGUCGGAGUCGCUAGUAAUCGCAGAUCAGCAACGCUGCGGUGAAUACGUUCCCGGGCCUUGUACACACCGCCCGUCAAGUCACGAAAGUUGGUAACACCCGAA
rnacentral:rRNA from 1 species